CUUGCUAAGUUUGAUGGCGACCGGCGCACGGGUGAGUAACACGUAUCCAACCUACCCUUUACUCGGGGAUAGCCUUUCGAAAGAAAGAUUAAUACCCGAUAGCAUAAUGAUUCCGCAUGGUUUCAUUAUUAAAGGAUUCCGGUAAAGGAUGGGGAUGCGUUCCAUUAGGUUGUUGGUGGGGUAACGGCCCACCAAGCCUUCGAUGGAUAGGGGUUCUGAGAGGAAGGUCCCCCACAUUGGAACUGAGACACGGUCCAAACUCCUACGGGAGGCAGCAUG
rnacentral:rRNA from 1 species